UUUGUAUAAUGGGUCAGCGACUUACAUUCAGUGGCGAGGUUAACCAGAUAGGGGAGCCGUAGAGAAAUCGAGUCCGAACAGGGCGACAGUCGCUGGGUGUAGACCCGAAACCAGGUGAUCUACCCAUGGCCAGGAUGAAGGUGCGGUAACACGCCCUGGAGGUCCGAACCCACUAAUGUUGAAAAAUUAGGGGAUGAGCUGUGGGUAGGGGUGAAAGGCUAAACAAACCUGGAAAUAGCUGGUUCUCUCCGAAAACUAUUUAGGUAGUGCCUCAAGUAUCACCAUCGGGGGUAGAGCACUGUUAUGGCUAGGGGGUCAUUGCGACUUACCAAACCAUUGCAAACUCCGAAUACCGAUGAGUGCGAGCUUGGGAGACAGACAUCGGGUGCUAACGUCCGGUGUCAAGAGGGAAACAACCCAGACCGCC
rnacentral:rRNA from 12 species